GUGGGGAAUAUUGCACAAUGGGCGAAAGCCUGAUGCAGCAACGCCGCGUGAGCGAUGAAGGCCUUUGGGUCGUAAAGCUCUGUCCUUGGGGAAGAAAAAAAUGACGGUACCCUUGGAGGAAGCCCCGGCUAACUACGUGCCAGCAGCCGCGGUAAUACGUAGGGGGCAAGCGUUAUCCGGAAUUAUUGGGCGUAAAGAGUGCGUAGGUGGUUUUGUAAGCGCGGGGUGAAAGGCAAUAGCUCAACUAUUGUAAGCCCUGCGAACUGUAAGACUUGAGUGCAGGAGAGGAAAGUGGAAUUCCUAGUGUAGCGGUGAAAUGCGUAGAUAUUAGGAGGAACACCAGUGGCGAAGGCGACUUUCUGGACUGUAACUGACACUGAGGCACGAAAGCGUGGGGAGCAAACAGGAUUAGAUACCCCAGUAGUCC
rnacentral:rRNA from 1 species